AGGAAGUUUUGGGAGUGGGAGCGUGGGGUAAGAAGUGAAGAAAACGUAUAAUUUUUCUUUUCUUUUUCAAUUGAGAAAGAAAAUUACAAAUUCAAUUUCUUCCCUAUGCCUCCCAUUCCUAUGAUUUCC
rnacentral:pre_miRNA from 1 species